rnacentral:rRNA from 1 species
UACGAAGGGGGCUAGCGUUGCUCGGAAUCACUGGGCGUAAAGCGCACGUAGGCGGAUUUUUAAGUCAGGGGUGAAAUCCUGGAGCUCAACUCCAGAACUGCCCUUGAUACUGGGAAUCUCGAGUCCGGGAGAGGUGAGUGGAACUGCGAGUGUAGAGGUGAAAUUCGUAGAUAUUCGCAAGAACACCAGUGGCGAAGGCGGCUCACUGGCCCGAUACUGACGCUGAGGCGCGAAAGCCAGGGGAGCAAACGGG